ACUUUUGCAGCAACAAAGCCUCCUUAUGCUAGAUCGACAAUAUAGUUAUUUAAUGUUUAGAAGUAGGCUAAGUUCACAAUAAUAAUAAUAAUUAUUAUUAUUAUUAUUAUUAUUAUUAAGACAAUAACCGUAUACGUUUUGUUUUUAAAGCGGCUUGUUUUAUUUAUACAAUCAAAAAACAACAAUAAUCGUUGAAUAAUGAAUAGGCUUUUAGGGGUUUUCAACUAAAAUGUAUUAUGGAAAACGAUCCCGAUCGAGAAUGCUGGACACAAUAAGAAGUCAGCUGAGCGAUGAGGCUCGCCUAGGGUAGGAGUCGUGAAUCUCGCGACACUACAGCUCCGAUUAUAUUGCAGUACAAUGGUACCAUAUCUCCUCGGCUGGCAAAUAAUUAAACUUGUACUAGAAUUCAUCUUGAUUUGAAGGCUUAGUGGCUUCAAAUCGUGGUAAUGGAGAAAUGGAGAUGUCACGUGCGCACAGAACUCAUACAGCGAGACAGCUCACAGAAGGAUCCAUAUGCUGGCGUCUUCAGAAGUUCUGCAAGAUAAUUUUGAAAUUCGUCGAGAAAUUUGGGAAGAUCUGCAGAGCCAAAGUUUAGAACAAGAUGGAAUAACAUUUGUGGAACUUCACCUCUGGUUAAGAGAGAGUGAACACCUGUCUAAAAAGUUGUCUCAGACCGUCUCUGACCUGACCAGUGUUUUGUAUUUCAAAGAGGCUGAGCUACAGUACUGGCAGUCUCAGGUAGCCCGUUUCCGUCGGGAGGCUCUGAGCCUGGCUGGAGGCAGCAACUCGCUGAAGGCCACCCUGAACCACCAGGAGUUCACCCUUGAGAGGCAGGCCAAGGAGCUGGCCGCCCUGCAGAAGGAGCACAUGCGCCUCCGGGAGGGGAUGGUGGAGGCCUGGAAGGAGAAAGGGGACCUCCUCCAGAGAUGGAUGGAGGAGAAGAAAGAGGAGGCGGCAAGGGUUAAUAAGUACAAUGACGCACAGGAAAGGUGGCGUCGGUUGGCCAGACGGCUGAAGAAACAACUUCGGGGAGAAACGGUCAAACCUUCGGAGCAGACGGAGAUUGACGUGACGAGUGGCGAAAAAGAAGCAGCAUUCAAACUAGAAUGAGUGACAGCAUUUAUUUUGUAACUUUUUUUCAUCUGUAACUAAUAUCGCUUAAAUAACUUGUUUUACAUUCGCAGUUUAAUGUGAGCACCAUUCCUAGAAGCACAAUCCGAACUCCACUUAAACAGCAACUAAAUAUGCACCUGAUGCAACUCUCUAUUGACUACAUUUAAUGUUGUUUAGAUGGACCGUUUUUAUUGAAUCAACAUGGGCAGGCAUCACUUGUGCAUCAAGCUUACAAACCAAACUAAUAAUUCAAGAUUAUAUGCACCUCCUGAUGACGUUGUAACAUGUUUGUGUUUGUGUAACCUUAUCGGAUUGGUUUUUAGUCCGAUAAGAUCUUAAAGUGAAUCAUGUUUUUUUUACUUUUUAGUGUGACUGACAAGCCUACAUUAUUAUAUUUUAAAAAGACUCGUGGUAGAUAUGCUAUAUAAAUAUAUUGUGUUAUCAACUUUUUUUUAAAAUAAAGCAAUGUGUAACGUGCGAGAUUAAUUAUUUUUUGUUCACAGUUUUCAUGCAUUUUAUUUAAAAGCCCUUGUGUCAUCAUUGUUAGCCAACACAAUAUCGCAUCGUAUUUAUUCAAUCCAAUAUAUAUUCUAACAUGUAUUCGGAGAUAAUGUUCCACCAGUAGUCUACUCUACGCUGUGGGCUAACGGUACUCAAAAGAAGAACUCGGGUGUAAAUAGUUUAACAAUGAAGCUGAUCUCCAUGACAAACAGCCCAACAGCAGCCCGGUGUCACCGUCGCCAUAGUCACCGUGUUGGUCCUUUAAGUCGACGCGUGCAGGAGUUUCAAAACAAGACAAACACAGACAGCAACAGGAUUUACAUUUUAACAUUUCUCUAAAAUGCCCAAAGGAGGGAAGGGAUAUUCUUCCGCGAGCAAUGAUGGCAAAUGGUAUGCCCAUGACACAGGGUUCAAAGAAGCGUGCACCAUCACUGGGACCAUGCUGGGGCAGGUUGUAUCGUCUGGGCCGCAAGAACUACGAGUUGAACGUCAUCUCAAGUCGAAAAAGCAGGUGUUUAUUAUGAAUAACACUGUUCUUCGAAAUAGCAAGGUUUUGCUGUGAUUGGAUUAGCCCACAUUAUCAUCACAGGCCUAUCCCAUGUUAGUGACAGGCAUCUGAUGAUGUAGGCCUAGAAUUUGUUUAAUCAAGUUAAUUAUUCCUAUGUGCUCGUGAACAAAUAUAUUUGAGUGGAUUUACAGGAUCCUCCUGAUUUUCGAUUCUCGACCCACGACAACAGAGAAGCGAUACGAGACGGGAUCUGCCUCUUUUCUCAGGGUCUUGGGCGCAAGAAGUGUCCAGAUGACCACAGACAGCACAACUCUCACUUCUGCCUGUGCCACGAUGAUCCUGUGGCAGUAAGUUGGCCGUCGACCGCGGGGGACCUCACGGCCUACCAGACUGAAGGCUUAGUGAGGAAGGACCAGGCAGAGGCCGUCACCAACAGGCGUUUCCCCCGCAGCCAUCAGGAGAAGUCAGCAGAGGCCGCCGCGGCCCAGGCCAGGGAACCUGCUUUCAUGUGGUUUGGACGACACGACUCAGAGGACUCUGUGCCCCUAGGGGUCCUUGCAGCUACUAACUGCUUAGCCACGCGAAUAUAAGCCGCGGUUUCUUGCAUCAUUACAUUGUAAGCUCUCCCUUAGUAAGAGGGGAGUAAUUGAACGUGUUUCUAUUUUUUUUUUUUUUUUUUUGCCAGCAGAGGGCAGCAUAUAUUCUAGUUUAAAUCUGCGAGCAAAUUGGGAUGAAAUGGAUAUCAAUGGUUUGGUCUUGGUUCGUUCCUUUCAAACCGCAUACUAUGUAGGCAUAACAAUAACCAUUAAACAAUGCGCCAUCAAGUGAUUGAGCAAGAGUAAGCAAGUGAUAACGUCCACUUAUAGAAUGAAUUGGGAGUUAUUUGAGCUAAAGGCCUAUAUGUAUAGAUUUUUGUCACCAAUCGAUUGCACAUUAAAAGCCCUGUUGAAAUGGAAAAAAGUAAAUGAUUUCCACAUGGACUUUCAACCACCCUGUAAAUCGUCA
ensembl:lncRNA